rnacentral:rRNA from 1 species
CCAAUAGCGUAUAUUAAAGUUGUUGCAGUUAAAAAGCUCGUAGUUGAAUUUCGGGAUUGGCGCAUCGGUCGUGCCUCACGGGGUAUGAACUGGUGCAGUCAAUUUCUCACCUUCUGGAGAACCGCGAUGUCCUUAAUUGGAUGCCGCGGGGAACCAGGACCUUUACUUUGAAAAUAUUAGAGUGUUUAAAGCAGGCAUUUUUGCUUGAAUACAUUAGCAUGGAAUAAUAAAAUAGGACGGCAUGGUUCUAUUUUGUUGGUUUCUAGGACCACCGUAAUGAUUAAUAGGGAUAGUUGGGGGCAUUAGUAUUCAAUUGUCAGAGGUGAAAUUCUUGGAUUUAUUGAAGACUAACUACUGCGAAAGCAUUUGCCAAGGAUGUUUUCAUUAAUCAAGAACGAAAGUUAGGGGAUCGAAGACGAUCAGAUACCGUCGUAGUCUUAACCAUAAACUAUGCCGACUAGGAAUCAGACGAUGUUAAUUUUUUAAUGACUCGUUUGGCACCUUACG